rnacentral:rRNA from 1 species
UACGUAGGGUGCGAGCGUUAAUCGGAAUUAUUGGGCGUAAAGCGCGCGCAGGCGGUCCUUUAAGUCUGAUGUGAAAGCCCACGGCUCAACCGUGGAGGGGUCAUUUGGAAACUGGGGGGACUUGAGUGCAGAAGAGGAAAGCGGAAUUCCACGUGUAGCGGUGAAAUGCGUAGAGAUGUGGAGGAACACCAGUGGCGAAGGCGGCUUUCUGGUCUGUAACUGACGCUGAGGCGCGAAAGCGUGGGUAGCAAACAGG